CUCCGCCCAGCGCUGGAAAAAGGUAAGUUUUACCCCUUUUCCCCUUUCCAGAGCUGGGCGGGAGGGGGCCCCUGAGGGUGGGGGCACCCUCAGGGCACUAUAGUGCCAGGAAAACGAGUAUGUUUUCCUGGCACUAUAGUGGUCCUUUAAAGGAUCACUACAGACACCCAGAUCACAUCAGCUCAAUGAAGUUGUCUGGGUGUCAGGUCCCUCUAGUUUUAACCCUG